CGUAGGGUGCGAGCGUUAAUCGGAAUUACUGGGCGUAAAGCGUGCGCAGGCGGUUGUGUAAGACAGGUGUGAAAUCCCCGGGCUUAACCUGGGAACUGCGCUUGUGACUGCACGGCUAGAGUAUGGCAGAGGGGGUGGAAUUCCACGUGUAGCAGUGAAAUGCGUAGAGAUGUGGAGGAACACCGAUGGCGAAGGCAGCCCCCUGGGCCAAUACUGACGCUCAUGCACGAAAGCGUGGGAGCAAACAGGAUU
rnacentral:rRNA from 1 species